AGGACUAACGCUGGCGGCGUGCCUAACACAUGCAAGUCGAACGAGGUAGCAAUACCUAGUGGCAGACGGGUGAGUAACGCGUGGUCAACCUACCUCUUAGUGGGGGAUAACUAGCCGAAAGGUUAGCUAAUACCGCAUACGAGUCUCGGGGGCAUCCCUGGGCCUUAAAAGGAGCAAUCCGCUCGAUGACGGGACCGCGUCCCAUUAGCUAGAUGGUGGGGUAAUGGCCUACCAUGGCUCCGAUGGGUAGCUGGUUUGAGAGAGCGACCAGCCACACUGGGACUGAGAAACGGCCCAGACUCCUACGGGAGGCAGCAGUGAGGAAUUUUCCGCAAUGGGCGAAAGCCUGACGGAGCGACGCCGCGUGUGGGAAGAAGGCCUUCGGGUCGUAAACCACUGUCGAAGGGGACGAUAAUGACGGUACCCUUGGAGGAAGCCCGGCUAACUACGCGCCAGCAGCCGC
rnacentral:rRNA from 1 species